GGUCUGAGCACUGCCCUCAAAGUCCAUCUGCCUCCCCAUCCUUCUGUAGUGUGUCAGACAUCCUGCUGCAGGUAAACAUGCCCCAGAAGCUCGUGGUGACCGAAGAGGAAGCCAACUGCCUGGCUACAGCUCUACAGAGCUAUUGACUGAGGAGGAGCGCAUGAAACAGAAAGCAGAGAAGAUAUGAUGAAAGAAGAAGCAUCAAAAGGAAAGAAAACAACAGGAGUGCUUGGAACAGGACAAUGGGGAGCCCAAGGUAAGUUCAACAGGCAGAUAACAAGAUCAGCAAGGUCCAGAAAGAUGGGAGCUGAGAAGGUAGGUAACUCAAGGUGAUCCCAGCUCUGUCCACUUUCCAUCCAGACCACGAUUACCCCAGAGAGGAUGACAGCACCCCCAGCCAACCCUGGAAACCUGGCUCAGGGACUGUGUGGUGAGGAAGAGGUUGGGGAUUGGCUUCCAAGUACCCACAGAGAGAAGGGACCAAAUCAGAAGCCCCAGGGCCUCCAGGAGAAGAUGGGCCCAAAAGAAAGGAACCCCUCAAGAGAGGAGAGCCCUAGGCAAAGUCCAAAGGCACAGCGCUUUGGAGAUGCAGCUGCUGUGUUCCAGGAGAUUCUGGGGGGUGUGUACCAGCCAGAUUCAGCCCGGGAACUCCACUCUUGCCUACUCCAACUUGCUUUGGAUCAACAAGGAAGAAUCCAUGUGCCACCUUGAUCAACUGGAGUCCUCCAGUCACUUCCGCAUGUUGAGACAGGAGACGCAGACCUGUUAUCCUUUGGUCAGAGCAGGUCUUCGGAGCCUGGGCCUUCUGUCUCCACUCACGUCAUGUAUUCUCCCACAUAUCACCUGAGCCAGCCCGCCUUAUCUUUCCCCAGACUCAGAUUACAAGACCCCACCCUCUUCAUCUCCAGGAUCCCUCAAAGAGCUGGGGGAUCCCAUGUCUUGGAUGCCAGCAUCUGCCUCAGCCCAGAUGAGAGAGGCAUUUUGUUGUUGUUGGUGGUGGUGGUGGUUUGUUUUUUUUUUGUGUGUGUGUGGGGGUUCCUCAGUACCAGGGAUCAAAUUCAGGAUCUUGUACUUGCAAGGCAGGCGUGUUGCCACUGAGCUAAAUCCCCAGCCCUGGGAGGCUCUUUCUCUAAUAGAGUGAAAAUAGUGAACACUUUGUGCUAAUAUUUUUCUGCAUAUUUUGAGGCCCUGUAAUUAAAUCCACAUUUAGCUGGACAUGUUCGCACAUGCCUGUAAUCCCAGUACUUGUGAGGCAGAGGCAGGAGGAUUGCCAUAAAUUCGAGUUCAAGGCCAGCCUGAAUUACAGAGUGAGACCCUGUUUCAUAAAACAAGCAAACACUAAAAGUCUAUUAAAGGUACCUCUGGCAAUCAUUCCUUUUGCAUGGAGAAUCUUCUCAUGAGAGAAAGUCCCACAUCCACUGAAACAUUCUUUCUUUGGUUCCCAAGCAGAUGGCUUCUUUUGAGGGUGGUAAGGAAACAUAAACACUUUCAGAGCUCAAGAUGAGGAACCACCUGGGUGCAAGGGUGCACCUGAGAUUCUAGCACUCUGGAAGACUAAGGCAAGAGGAUCACAAGUUCAAGCCCAGCCUGGGCAACUUGGUCACUUAGCAAGACCCUGUCUCAAAAAAAAAAAAAAAAAAAAAAGCAGAUGGCUUCUUUUGAGGGUGGUAAGGAAACAUAAACACUUUCAGAGCUCAAGAUGAGGAACCACCUGGGUGCAAGGGUGCACCUGAGAUUCUAGCACUCUGGAAGACUAAGGCAAGAGGAUCACAAGUUCAAGCCCAGCCUGGGCAACUUGGUCACUUAGCAAGACCCUGUCUCAAAAAAAAAAAAAAAUACUGGUGAUGCAGCUCAGCACAAAGGCACUGGGUUCCAUCUCUAGUACUGCCAAAAAAUAAAGGGUGGGGGACUUGGAAACUGCAGUAUGCAGAAGUUCAGGUUUUUGGACUACAGCAGAGUCAGCAAGGAGGCCUCUGGGACUUGCUGUGUUUCUUGGCCCUAGGGAACUCAUUCAUGAGGUGGAGCUCUGUGCUCAAGAAGGAGGUCCCAAGUAAUAAGUAAAAUUGAGUCCCACCCUUUGCAGCUUGAUGGAUUCUUACCUCUUCCUUACCCCGUUCUUGCUGUUUUUCUCUUGCCACAGUCCCCAGAGUGCUGCUAGCUCCUUGUGCCAUUUUCUGGCCACAUUGCUAUGCAUAAUCAGACCUCCCUGUCCAGUGGUCUGACACCCACCUCCUCCCAUUGCAGGAAGAUUCUUCAAGGGAUUGCAUUUGGGAAGUCCCUUACUAGCUCCUGCCUGGAGCUGCAGGCCCAUACAUCUCCAAUUCCCUGCAUGAUACCCAGACUACUGCUACCAUGGCUGCUUUCUUCACCCCAGCACUGGGCACUGCAGUUAGCCUUUCCCCAUAGGAGUUUUACCACCACGGGUUACAAUUGCUUCUAUGUAAGAUUCAUGAUCUUUUGGCUUCUUUAAGAGCCAAAAGUAGCUCCCCUUAGUUGAGUUCUCCCUGGCCCUGGCUAAAAGCCCAUUUAAGUGUGGAUCCUUAGGUGACUUACCCUCACCCCACCCCAGAGGGACUAUUCAUGAAGAUACAUGAUGCUUCUGCCCUAUAAGUCUAGCCCAAUAAAGUUUGCACUUGGAGAGGGGGGUUGAAACAUCUCUUUUAUAUAGGACUUCUCUCCAUCUUUUCUAUGUUUAUGAUCUAGUUUCCUUAAAUACUAUCUAGCAAAAUGAAGCCUGCCAUUACUAGUUGGGGCAUCUCGGGCAGCUCAAUAUUUAAGCCUCGGUUUCCUCAUCUGUAAAAUGGGGGCUGUUGUGAGGAUUGAAAGUGUAAUAAAAUACCUACAAAGUGCCUGGUAUGUAGUGGGUGCUAAAUAAACCAAAUUUUGCCUGAAACUAUCAUAUACUGUGAUUCCUACAAUAGGAAGAGGAAAAUAAGAGUGAGCUGCUGCUUAAGUUUAGAAAAUCCAAAGUUCCUGGGCCUGUGGGUCUCAAAGUGUCUCUGAACAGCAACAUCAGCAUCAACAAGAAACUUGUAACACAUGCAAAACCCUCAGGUCCUAUGCCAGGCCUAAAUCAAACUAACUUUUUUUUUUUUUAAGACAGGGUCUCUCUCAGUCCCUAAGUCACCCAGCCUGGGCCCAAACUUGGUGACCCUCCUGCCUCAGCUUCCCCGAGUGCUGAGAUUAC
rnacentral:lncRNA from 1 species